ensembl:snRNA U6 U6 spliceosomal RNA
GUGCUCACAUUGGCAGCGCAUAUACUAAAAAUGGAACGAUACAGAGAGAUGUGUGGCCCCUGUGCAAGGAUGACACACAAGUCUGUCAAGCAGUCCUUAUUUUU